rnacentral:rRNA from 1 species
CCUACGGGAGGCAGCAGUGGGGGAUAUUGCACAAUGGGGGAAACCCUGAUGCAGCGACGCCGCGUGAGUGAAGAAGUAACUCGGUAUGUUAAGCCUCUUCAGCCGGGAAGCAAAUGACAGUACCUGACCACGAAGCCCCGGCUGACUACGUGCCAGCAGCGGGGGUAACAAGACGGGAGCAAGCGUUAUACGGAUUUACUGGGUGUAAAAGGGGCGUAGGCGGUUAUGUAAGUCUGGAGGGAAAGCCCGGGGCCCAACCCCGGGACUGCUUUGGAAACUGGGUAUCUGGAGUAGAGGAGGGGCAGGCGGAAUGCGUGGUGUAGCGGUGAAAUGCGUAGAUAUCAGGAGGAACACCGACGGCGAAGGCGGCCUGCUGGACUGAAACUGACGUUGAGGCUCGAAAGCGUGGGGAGCGAACAGGAUUAGAUACCCCAGUAGUC